GAUGAACGCUAGCGGGAGGCUUAACACAUGCAAGUCGAGGGGCAGCACGAUCCCGAGUAAUCGGGAUUGGUGGCGACCGGCGCACGGGUGAGUAACACGUAUGCAACCUACCCUGUACAGGGGGAUAACCCGGAGAAAUUCGGACUAAUAUCCCAUAAUGAUAUUUGAGGGCAUCCUUGGAUAUUUAAAGCUCAGGCGGUACGGGAUGGGCAUGCGGAACAUUAGCUAGUUGGGAGGGUAACGGCCUACCAAGGCAACGAUGUUUAGGGACCUGAGAGGGUGAUCCCCCAACUGGUACUGAGACACGGACCAGACUCCUACGGGAGCAGCAGUGAGGAAUAUUGGUCAAUGGGCGCAAGCCUGAACCCAGCCAUCCCGCGUGCAGGAAGACGGCCCUAUGGGUUGUAAACUGCUUUUCCAGGGAGAGAAACUUACGCACGUGUUGCGUGACUGACGGUACCCUGGGAAUAAGCAUCGGCUAACUCCGUGCCAGCAGCCGACGGUAAAACGU
rnacentral:rRNA from 1 species